rnacentral:rRNA from 1 species
UGUACCUUACCUGUUGCUUCCGUGCUGCGUGGAUUUCGGUCCCCUCCCUUGUCGGAGUGUUUGGCACGGCUAACAAAAUUCUUGCAUUUCAUGUCAUCUGUCUGAACUGUUAAAUAGAAAAAGUUAAAACUUUCAACAACGGAUCUCUUGGUUCUCGCAUCGAUGAAGAACGCAGCGAAAUGCGAUAAGUAGUGUGAAUUGCAGAAUUCAGUGAAUCAUCGAAUCUUUGAACGCACAUUGCGCCUCCUGGUAUUCCGGGAGGCAUGCCUGUUCGAGCGUCAUUAAAAUCAUCUCAAGCUCCUUUGCUUGGUCAUGGAAGAUGAGUCUGCCUGGCAGUCUCCCCUCCGAAAUACAAUGGCGGAAGGUCACUGGUAUCCGGCGUAGUAUUAACGUUCGCUUGGUAUCCAGAGUCGUUCCUGCCCCAUAACCCCCUUUCUCAUGAUUGACCUCGGAUCAGGUAGGGAUACCCGCUGAACUUA